UUGAACCCAAUUGAUUCAUGAUUUGGACUAAACCAAAUAGGAGCCCUAGAUGCCUUUAUAAGGCUUUGAAAGGAGGUGCCCUAAUGAUAAGUGCAAGCCCUCCUCCUCUCCAUCACGUGGCCACCCUCCUCUCCUCUCUUUUCAGCGACCAACAACAAAGGAAAGAAAAGGAUCUUGGUGGCCUCCUUCUUCCUCCACCGUUUGGUUCCAACGCAAGGAAGAAAAAGAAGGCUGCAGGGCUUCGUUCCUCUUCUUCUCUUCAUCCUUCUUCUUCCUCCUCCCA
rnacentral:lncRNA from 1 species